CACCUGAUAAGCUUGCAGCUAUUCCAGCAUCAGAACGUUUUGGAGCUGCUGAAACAUUACCAAACAACAUUUCAAAUUGCUGCGGUGUUGACGGGGAGGGUUUACGUUCCCCGUGUGAGGCCUUGCGGUGUUCGUUUUGGGGUCUCCAUUCCAUGACUCUCACGUGCACGGGGACCGGUCCACAGCUCAAGGAACGGAUUGAAGUACAACG
rnacentral:lncRNA from 1 species